rnacentral:rRNA from 1 species
UACGAGGGGGGCGAGCGUUGUUCGGAAUUAUUGGGCGUAAAGGGUGCGUAGGCGGUUCCGCAAGUCCUGUGUGAAAUCUUCGGGCUCAACUCGAAGUCUGCACGGGAAACUGCGGGGCUUGAGUGUGGGAGAGGUGAGUGGAAUUCCCAGUGUAGCGGUGAAAUGCGUAGAUAUUGGGAGGAACACCAGUGGCGAAGGCGGCUACCUGGACCGGUUCUGACGCUGAGGCGCGAAAGCGUGGGUAGCAAACAGG